GCUUUGUAUAGGAGAGACGGUUGGCAUCUCCCUUGACAGGGACGGGAACAGCUUUCGGGCUUUCCUUCAUUACAUUGCGGUUAAGGCUACCCGCUUCGGCGGAUCUUACCCAAAUUUUAA
rnacentral:ncRNA from 1 species